AUUGAAAUCAUGUUAGGGAAAUUAUUUCCUAUCUUUGUUUAUCAUAUGAUUCAAUAUAUAGGUAUCUUUAGAUCAAAACCCUGGAAAGGAACCUAAUCAGGAUCUCUUGUGACUCAUGAUUUUGAUCAAUGUGGAUGUGAAUUCUCUAUACAUAAACUUUUGGAUCUCAAUAUCAUGAUUUUUUUCCCCUUUUCCAGAGUUAUAAAAUCGAACGACCACUUUGCACAUUCAUGC
rnacentral:lncRNA from 1 species